UUAUAUUCACCUGGGCCUGUGAAAGUCAAUGCAUUAAGGAAGGUGAUAAGAUCUGGUUGAGUCUUUCUUUCUUUCAAUUGGGAAACCAUUGGGUUGAUGCUGCCACCACGGAAACCAACCAACCCAAUCUUAGUAUCAGUGCUGCCAAUGCUAAACUUCCUGCAAGAAUAAGUUGAAUUAGUUGAUGCGCAACACUGGUGAUAUUUCUAGUUCCAUGUUUAAGAACAGAAGACAUACUGCUUGUGAUUUCGAUGGCAAAUACAACAUCGAGAACAGCGUUUGGAGGGCAGAGAGCUGGGGGGGGGGGAGCUUUGAUUAUUUAAUGAAGUGGAAAUAAAAAGUAAAACAGAUUAUCCACCUGAAUUACAUUCGAACCAACACUCAGUGCCAGGAAUUAAGUUGCUAUCCGGAUUCGAGCACAUCUUGGUACCAUUUCCUGGGGCUGCGAUGGGUGGGCAGGUUGGGGGGUCUGGGAUGUCUGGAGGAAAAUGUAAGGUUUAAUAUGCUUUGCUUUUAAACCAAUGA